UACGUAGGGGGCAAGCGUUGUCCGGAUUUACUGGGCGUAAAGAGCGUGUAGGCGGCCAAACAGGUCCGUUGUGAAAACUGGAGGCUCAACCUCCAGACGUCGACGGAAACCGUGUGGCUAGAGUCCGGAAGAGGUGAGUGGAAUUCCUAGUGUAGAGGUGAAAUUCGUAGAUAUUAGGAAGAACACCAGUGGCGAAGGAGGCUCACUGGCCCGGUACUGACGCUGAGGCGCGAAAGCGUGGGGAGCAAACAGG
rnacentral:rRNA from 1 species